rnacentral:piRNA from 1 species
UGUGUUCUCAUGAUACCUGUUUGAUACAC